UCGGGAAUUUUGGGCAAUGGGCGAAAGCCUGACCCAGCAACGCCGCGUGAGGGAUGAAGUAUUUCGGUAUGUAAACCUCGAAAGAAUGGGAAGAAUAAAUGACGGUACCAUUUAUAAGCUCCGGCUAACUACGUGCCAGCAGCCGCGGUAAUACGUAGGGAGCAAGCGUUGUUCGGAUUUACUGGGCGUAAAGGGCGCGUAGGCGGCGCGGUAAGUCACUUGUGAAAUCUCGGAGCUUAACUCAGAACGGCCAAGUGAUACUGCUGGGCUAGAGUGCGGAAGAGGCAACCGGAAUUCUUGGUGUAGCGGUGAAAUGCGUAGAUAUCAAGAGGAACACCUGAGGCGAAGGCGGGUUGCUGGGCCGACACUGACGCUGAUGCGCGAAAGCCAGGGGAGCAAACG
rnacentral:rRNA from 1 species